GAAGAUCCCAUCAGGCUGAGAGGGGGGUGUUCACAAGAGGGGGGUUCCAGGGGAGGUCUGCCCAGUCGCACCCGCCCUCCCCCGCUGUUGAAGCUGCUGUCUGUACCUGCAGUAAGAACACCCACAGCGAACACGCGGCUCAUGGCUCCAAUCAGCACCCAGUCAGGAGCCUCGGCUUGAUAAAUGGUGAUGAAUGUAGACCGGGAUUAUAAGAGAGAGCUUUGGCGGCGGCCCCGCCGGCCCUCCCUCACUUCUCCUCGGUGCCACACAUACACGCGCGCACUAAUACGCCUCUCCCCACCUGCCAUU
rnacentral:lncRNA from 1 species